AGUGUAGGCGGCUAUUUAAGUCGGAUGUGAAAGCCCCGAGCUCAACCUGGGAAUUGCAUUCGAAACUGAAUAGCUAGAGUUUGGUAGAGGUAAGUGGAAUUCCGGGUGUAGCGGUGAAAUGCGUAGAUAUCCGGAGGAACAUCAGUGGCGAAGGCGGCUUACUGGACCAAAACUGACGCUGAGGCUCGAAAGCGUGGGGAGCAAACAGGAUUAGAUACCCUGGUAGUCC
rnacentral:rRNA from 1 species